rnacentral:rRNA from 1 species
CACGUAGGGUGCGAGCGUUUGUCCGGAAUUAUUGGGCGUAAAGAGCUCGUAGGCGGUGUGUCGCGUCGGCCGUGAAAACCUGCAGCUUAACUGUGGGCUUGCGGUCGAUACGGGCAUCACUGGAGUUCGGCAGGGGAGACUGGAAUUCCUGGUGUAGCGGUGAAAUGCGCAGAUAUCAGGAGGAACACCGGUGGCGAAGGCGGCUCACUGGCCCGAUAACUGACGCUGGAGGCACGGAAAGCGUGGGGAGCAAACAAGG